AACAGCAUCCGAUGGGGGGAUAAGCCAUUGGUGGUGGAGGACAAGGUUCUGGAACCUUUGGUGGUGGUGGUGGUGGUGGUUCUUUUGGUUUCUCAGGUUCCUUAGGCUUUUCGGGUUCUUUCGGCUUUUCGGGUUGUUUCGGUUUCUCGGGUUCUUUGGGUUUUUCGGGUUCUUUCGGCUUUUCGGGUUGUUUAGGUUUCUCGGGUUCUUUGGGUUUUUCGGGUUCUUUUGGUUUUUCUGGUGCUUUAGGCUUUUCGGGUUCUUUUGGUUUUUCUGGUACUUUAGGCUUCUCAGGUUCUUUGGGUUUUUCAGGUUCUUUGGGCUUUUCGGGUUCUUUAGGCUUCUCAGGCUCCUUGGGUUUGGGAGGAGGAGGUGGAGGUUUGAUCUCAAUGCUCUUGAUUGAUCCAGCACCCUUGCAACAUAUCUUGUCCCUCAGCUUCUCAG
rnacentral:lncRNA from 1 species